CCUGUGUAGCAGUGUGUCUCGUGUCUCCAGCCUUACUCACCGUGUCUUCCUGUUACCCUGCUCAGUUUUGGAUUCUGGUUUUCACCCUUUUGGAUUUCUGUUGGACAGCCUUUGUUUUGGGACUCUGUCAUCAGCCACUCAGUUUUAUGGCAUAUGCCUAAGGAGGACCAGAAAAGACUCUGAGUACGCAGAAAAGGGCUGCAUGGCAAGAGCUAUUUCUGAAAUGGAUGGACCACUUCAUGAAAUAUGGCUCUCCAAAAAACCCUCUGGUCCUAAUAAUGGACCAGCAUGAAACCACUGUGGCUGCCGGAUCAUUGACAUCUGCAGGGUAAACAAGAUCGAGAUUCUGCUGUUACCCCCACACACAACCCACAUGCUGCAGCCACUGGACAUCAGUGUUUUUAACCCCCUUUGGCACCCUGGCCAGUCGCAUGGACCUGGUGAGAGGAGACAUGGUUGAGGGGAAGAAGCACUUCUCCUCAGUGCUGUAGCAUGCCUGCGAAAAGGCUGUUGUAUCUGAGAAAAUCAUGGCAGGAUUCAGGAAGGCUGGCAUCUAUCUUAUGUCAAGAAAAGUAGUGGCCAUGACACAGCUGCUGUGCCCACCUCCUCGGCCUUCAUGCCCCCACAUCCAUUGUGCCUACCGCUGCAGCGACCGAUCCCUCCUCUGCAAUGCCCACCUGCUCCACUUCAGCUUCCUGGUCACCGCCAACCCAGAGAGAAGACAUUCUGUCUGCCCAACAUGCAACAGAAGCCAAAAUAAUUACCUGGUAGAAACUGGCCUCACUCCCCAAUCUUUGGCAGAUGUCCUCGUCACACCCGCCUUUGGCCAGAAAGCAGGAGGGGUACGGCAUCGGGUGCCCCUACAAGCCCAUGUCAUCACCAGUGAUGAAUAAGUGGCACAUCUUGACAGACUAGAAGCAGAUAAAAAGAACAAGAGAAGAAAAGGGCCAGACAAGGAAAGGCAGCAAAAAUAACGCCUGCAAUGAACGAUGGGAGCUAUUGUGUCAGAGGUGAAUGACUGGAUUCAGGGUCUCCUCUAUGAGGUGUGGUUUCGCAUGGUGUGCGUAGAUGCAGAUUCUGUGUAAAUAGAUCUUUUAAUUGUCAACUUUAUGUGGGGAAAUUAGGGUUUUUGUAUUAAUUAAAUGUGUAUGGUAAUUCACCAAUUUAGCAGAGGUGUGUUCAUUUAUGGUAAAGGAAUCCUCCUCAUGGCUUUACAUGAGCAGUAUUUCUAGCUAUAAAAAUAUAUUAAUGUGAUUUAAAUGUAAUAGUUGCGCACAGCCAUUUUGGACUACCACAUGCUUCAAAUUAAUAUUUGUCAAUUUUAAAAGUGCGUAUAAAUGCUUAUAAAUAAAAAAAUACUUUAUAAUAAU